GGAGUUAGCCGGUGCUUCUUCUGCGAGUAACGUCACAGAUGUAAGGUAUUAACUUACACCCUUUCCUCCUCGCUGAAAGUGCUUUACAACCCGAAGGCCUUCUUCACACACGCGGCAUGGCUGCAUCAGGGUUUCCCCCAUUGUGCAAUAUUCCCCACUGCUGCCUCCCGUAGGAGUCUGGGCCGUGUCUCAGUCCCAGUGUGGCUGAUCAUCCUCUCAGACCAGCUAGGGAUCGUCGCCUAGGUGAGCCUUUACCUCACCUACUAGCUAAUCCCACCUGGGCUUAUCCAUCAGCGCAAGGCCCGAAGGUCCCCUGCUUUCCCCCGUAGGGCGUAUGCGGUAUUAGCAGUCGUUUCCAACUGUUAUCCCCCACAAAUGGGCAAAUUCCCAGGCAUUACUCACCCGUCCGCCGCUCGUCAUCUUCAAAAGCAAGCUUUUGAAAUGUUACCGCUCGACUUGCAUGUGUUAGGCCUGCCGCCAGCGUUCAAUCUAAGCCAGGAUCAAACUCUGA
rnacentral:rRNA from 1 species